GACGAACGCUGGCGGCGUGCCUAAUACAUGCAAGUAGAACGCUGAAGGAGGAGCUUGCUUCUCUGGAUGAGUUGCGAACGGGUGAGUAACGCGUAGGUAACCUGCCUGGUAGCGGGGGAUAACUAUUGGAAACGAUAGCUAAUACCGCAUAAUAGUAGAUGUCGCAUGACAUUUGCUUAAAAGGUGCAAUUGCAUCACUACCAGAUGGACCUGCGUUGUAUUAGCUAGUUGGUGAGGUAACGGCUCACCAAGGCAACGAUACAUAGCCGACCUGAGAGGGUGAUCGGCCACACUGGCACUGAGACACGGCCCAGACUCCUACGGGAGGCAGCAGUAGGGAAUCUUCGGCAAUGGACGGAAGUCUGACCGAGCAACGCCGCGUGAGUGAAGAAGGUUGUCGGAUCGUAAAGCUCUGUUGUAAGAGAAGAACGAGUGUGAGAGUGGAAAGUUCACACUGUGACGGUAUCUUACCAGAAAGGGACGGCUAACUACGUG
rnacentral:rRNA from 1 species